rnacentral:rRNA from 1 species
UGGGGAAUAUUGGACAAUGGGCGCAAGCCUGAUCCAGCCAUGCCGCGUGUGUGAAGAAGGCCUUCGGGUUGUAAAGCACUUUUGUUGGGAAAGAAAUCCUGUCGGCUAAUACCCGGCGGGGAUGACGGUACCCAAAGAAUAAGCACCGGCUAACUUCGUGCCAGCAGCCGCGGUAAUACGAAGGGUGCAAGCGUUACUCGGAAUUACUGGGCGUAAAGCGUGCGUAGGUGGUUCGUUAAGUCAGAUGUGAAAGCCCCGGGCUCAACCUGGGAAUUGCAUUUGAUACUGGCGGACUAGAGUGCGGUAGAGGAGAGUGGAAUUCCCGGUGUAGCAGUGAAAUGCGUAGAGAUCGGGAGGAACAUCAGUUGCGAAGGCGGCUCUCUGGACCAGCACUGACACU